rnacentral:rRNA from 2 species
GUGGGGAAUAUUGCACAAUGGGGGAAACCCUGAUGCAGCGACGCCGCGUGAGCGAAGAAGUAUUUCGGUAUGUAAAGCUCUAUCAGCAGGGAAGAAGAAUGACGGUACCUGACUAAGAAGCACCGGCUAAAUACGUGCCAGCAGCCGCGGUAAUACGUAUGGUGCAAGCGUUAUCCGGAUUUACUGGGUGUAAAGGGAGCGCAGGCGGUGCGGCAAGUCUGAUGUGAAAGCCCGGGGCUCAACCCCGGUACUGCAUUGGAAACUGUCGUACUAGAGUGUCGGAGGGGUAAGUGGAAUUCCUAGUGUAGCGGUGAAAUGCGUAGAUAUUAGGAGGAACACCAGUGGCGAAGGCGGCUUACUGGACGAUAACUGACGCUGAGGCUCGAAAGCGUGGGGAGCAAACAGGAUUAGAAACCCCUGUAGUCC